UCAGGCACACGAUGAGUAGAAAGGACUCGAUGGAUGGCAGCGGUGAGGAGCUUACAAGAAGAAAAUUGGAAGCUAUAAGGCAGUGCCUUAAGAUACUGGAAGAGGACUUAACGGAAGAAAGUCACAGAAGUGACUUGUGUUGUAUAUUAAAUGAUACAAGUGUGAAAGAGAUCAGUGAUGGGGAUGAAGAGACUGAUUUUUCUGGUUCCUUUUCUACAGAGCCCAAAUUGGAUGUUAAACUUGGAUUGAGUGGUAGCAGCUCAGAAGAUCUAGGAAGGCCCUUCAGUUCCAACACCGAAGAGAAAGGUGUUCAGUGCCUGAUUUCCUCAGAUAGUGGGCUAAGCUGUAAACCAGGUGUAGCUCCAUCAGCAGACACGGAAAACAAAACUCUGGAAGACAUCAUUGAAGCUUUGUGGAUAGGUAUUUGUAAUCUCAGCCGCUUGCAAGAUGCAGAUGAGGAAAAAGGAACUGUGUGCAGAAUUAGUGGAGGGCAUCAACAACUACAGUGCUGA
rnacentral:lncRNA from 1 species